rnacentral:rRNA from 1 species
UACGAAGGGGGCUAGCGUUGUUCGGAUUUACUGGGCGUAAAGCGCACGUAGGCGGAUCGAUCAGUCAGGGGUGAAAUCCCAGGGCUCAACCCUGGAACUGCCUUUGAUACUGUCGAUCUGGAGUAUGGAAGAGGUGAGUGGAAUUCCGAGUGUAGAGGUGAAAUUCGUAGAUAUUCGGAGGAACACCAGUGGCGAAGGCGGCUCACUGGUCCAUUACUGACGCUGAGGUGCGAAAGCGUGGGGAGCGAACAGG